GGUUGACGAAGAUGAGGCCGGUGAAGAGCAGCACCACCAUGGAGAGGAAGGAGAAGACGACGCACACGCAGCCGGCGGUUGGUCCUCACUCUACGAAGAGGAAACCUCCCCAGCCCCAACAGGGAAAGGAAGGGAAGAGCUCUGUGCGUUCCCAUGAGAUGAGAACAUUCCCACUUUCCCUCUGGAGUCUCUGCAGCAGAAAGCAAGAUACCCCAGGGGAUAUUUGUGGAAAGGAUGAAUGAAUGAGAAUCAAGCUGAAGGAAGAGAGAAGCUGAAGGCAAGGAAGCUACCAACAAACCACCAGUGUACAGACCAAAGAUGGAAUUGUCAUAAAUGUCAUGUUUCCAUGACACUUGAAAAUAAAUAGACCUUUUACUCUAUGUGAAUAGUGAAUGUGAUUGACAUGGUAAGUUUGAGAGACCUUAGUUGAGGCUCAUUAAAAACCAUGAGCUUUCCA